AAUUUAUGCAUCUUCUCGGAAACGAAAGUCUUUCGGUUCCGGGGGAAGUAUGGUUGCAAAGCUGAAACUUAAAGGAAUUGACGGAAGGGCACCACCAGGAGUGGAGCCUGCGGCUUAAUUUGACUCAACACGGGAAAACUCACCCGGGCCGGACACUAUAAGGAUUGACAGAUUGAUAGCUCUUUCAUGAUUUAGUGGUUGGUGGUGCAUGGCCGUUCUUAGUUCGUGGAUAUGAUUUGUCUGGUUGAUUCCGAUAACGAGCGAGACUUUUAUGUUAUAUUAAAUAUUAUUAUUUUGUUUAUUUUAAUAUAAAUAAUUAAUAUUUUAAUAACAGAUUAAUAGUGUUUAACUAUUUGAGAGAGAGCGAUAACAGGUCUGUGAUGCCCUUAGAUGUCCGGGGCUGCACGCGCGCUACAAUGUAGUGAUCAUUAUGUUCCUGUUUAGAGAUAAAUGGGUAAACAUUGAAAACAUUACGUAACUGGGAGUGAAAAUUGCAAUUAUUUUUCAUGAACGAGGAAUUCCAAGUAAACGUAAGUCAU
rnacentral:rRNA from 1 species